rnacentral:lncRNA from 1 species
AUGAAGCUCCUUGUGGCUUCAGUUCUUCUUGUCUUUCUCGCUUGCCCAAAGGAAAGCAUUUCGGUUCCUGUUUUGGUGGUGAGUAUUAGAGAUCUUUGUGUUCGGAGACUACUGUUUGAAUUCUGCUUCAUACCUUCUUCAUGCAACAGCUAUAUCCUAAGUUCUAAGAUGAGGUCUGUACAUUUGUUGUGUCAGAUGAGUGUGCUAAAGAGGUGGAAGAGUUGUGAACAUUUUUGUGUGCUCUGUCACCUCUAAGGAUGGCAGUAUCCCAUUUGCUCUGAUGGACCAGCUGGCACCAAACUCCGAACUGCCCCUCCCAGAACAUCUAUGUAUCGUCUCUCAUAAAACUAGACAGUUGGCAUUCAGCUCUGUACUGAAAAGCUAAACCAUCCACUUAAUUUUAAUAUAUGCAUGAAAUCUUUGAUGGAAUACUAAUGGGGGAAACAAUUCAAAAUAGUUGCAGUGUGGGCAGAAGCAUUUGAUUGAGUGCUUUAUUAGAGGUUUUUUUCCCCUCCCUCCCUGGAAAUAGUCUUAGGGACAAUACAGUAAUUAAACCAUGACUCCAAUGUGAUUAAAAGUGUAACAAAAAGAAACAAAUCCAGACAAGAAACGUUUCAAUGUGUUUUACUCUGGGAUACAUUUUGUUUUAAGCUUCUAUGUACAUUGGCUGGUUGUGUUUUUAUUGUUAAAAAAAAUUGGCAAU